UUAAGCGACUAAGCGUACACGGUGGAUGCCUAGGCAAUCAGAGGCGAUGAAGGACGUGCUAAUCUGCGAUAAGCGUCGGUAAGGUGAUAUGAACCGUUACAACCGACGAUUUCCGAAUGGGGAAACCCAGUGCAAUUCGUUGCACUAUCGUUUGAUGAAUACAUAGUCAAACGAAGCGAACCGGGGAACUGAAACAUCUCAGUACCCCGAGGAAAAGAAAUCAACCGAGAUUCCCCUAGUAGCGGCGAGCGAACGGGGAGCAGCCCAGAGUCUUAAUCAGCAUUAGCAUCAGGAGAACGGUCUGGAAAGUCCGGCAGUAAAGGGUGAUAGCCCCGUAUCCGAAGGUGUUAGUGUUGUGAACUCGACGAGUAGGGCGGGACACGUGUUAUCCUGUCUGAAUAUGGGGGACCAUCCUCCAAGGCUAAAUACUCCUGAUUGACCGAUAGUGAACCAGUACCGUGAGGGAAAGGCGAAAAGAACCCCGGCGAGGGGAGUGAAAUAGAACCUGAAACCGUGUACGUACAAGCAGUGGAGCCCCAUCACUCAAGUGCCUCGGCAAUUGAGUGAGGGUGUAAAACCAUCACAAUAACAGCGCAGGAUUUGCCAACAAGAUUGGCUGAUUUUUUCAAGCCGCAGCGCAGUGGACAUCGAAGUCCAUGAGCAGCGGAAGUUAAAAUCGGGCAAGAUUGGCCGCAAAGCCAAGCGGACAUUUGAGGAUGGGGUGACUGCGUACCUUUGUAUAAUGGGUCAGCGACUUAUAUUCUGUAGCAAGGUUAACCGUAUAGGGGAGCCGUAGGGAAACCGAGUCUUAACUGGGCGAAUAAGUUGCAGGGUAUAGACCCGAAACCCGGUGAUCUAGCCAUGGGCAGGUUGAAGGUUGGGUAACACUAACUGGAGGACCGAACCGACUAAUGUUGAAAAAUUAGCGGAUGACUUGUGGCUGGGGUGAAAGGCCAAUCAAACCGGGAGAUAGCUGGUUCUCCCCGAAAGCUAUUUAGGUAGCGCCUCGUGAACUCAUCUUCGGGGUAGAGCACUGUUUCGACUAGGGGUCAUCCCGACUUACCAACUCGAUGCAAACUACGAAUACCGAAGAAUGUUAUCACGGGAGACACACGGCGGGUGCUAACGUUCGUCGUGAAGAGGGAAACAACCCAGACCGCCAGCUAAGGUCCCAAAGUCAUAGUUAAGUGGGAAACGAAGUGGGAAGGCUCAGACAGCCAGGAUGUUGGCUUAGAAGCAGCCAUCAUUUAAAGAAAGCGUAAUAGCUCACUGGUCGAGUCGGCCUGCGCGGAAGAUGUAACGGGGCUAAACUAUGCACCGAAGCUGCGGCAGCGAUAUGUAAAUAUUGUUGGGUAGGGGAGCGUUCUGUAAGCCUGUGAAGGUGUGCUGUGAGGCAUGCUGGAGGUAUCAGAAGUGCGAAUGCUGACAUAAGUAACGAUAAUGCGGGUGAAAACCCGCACGCCGGAAGACCAAGGGUUCCUGUCCAACGUUAAUCGGGGCAGGGUGAGUCGACCCUAAGGCGAGGCAGAAAUGCGUAGUCGAUGGGAAACGGGUUAAUAUUCCCGUACUGGUGAUAAUUGCGAUGGGGGGACGGAGAAGGCUAGGCUAUCCGGGCGACGGUUGUCCCGGUUUAAGGAUGUAGGCAGGUGAAUUAGGCAAAUCCGGUUCACUAUAUGCUGAGGUCCGAUGACGAGUCACUACGGUGAUGAAGUAGCUCAUGCCCCGCUUCCAGGAAAAGCCUCUAAGCUCUAGAUUAUCAUUAAUCGUACCCCAAACCGACACAGGUGGUCAGGUAGAGAAUACUCAGGCGCUUGAGAGAACUCGGGUGAAGGAACUAGGCAAAAUGGUGCCGUAACUUCGGGAGAAGGCACGCUGGCAUUAGGUGAAGUGAUUUACUCAUGGAGCUGAAGCCAGUCGCAGAUACCAGCUGGCUGCAACUGUUUAUUAAAAACACAGCACUGUGCAAACACGAAAGUGGACGUAUACGGUGUGACGCCUGCCCGGUGCUGGAAGGUUAAUUGAUGGGGUUAUCCGUAAGGAGAAGCUCUUGAUCGAAGCCCCAGUAAACGGCGGCCGUAACUAUAACGGUCCUAAGGUAGCGAAAUUCCUUGUCGGGUAAGUUCCGACCUGCACGAAUGGCGUAAUGAUGGCCAGGCUGUCUCCACCCGAGACUCAGUGAAAUUGAACUCGCUGUGAAGAUGCAGUGUACCCGCGGCAAGACGGAAAGACCCCGUGAACCUUUACUAUAGCUUGACACUGAACAUUGAGCCUUGAUGUGUAGGAUAGGUGGGAGGCUUUGAAGCGUGGACGCCAGUCUGCGUGGAGCCAACCUUGAAAUACCACCCUUUAAUGUUUGAUGUUCUAACGUUGCCCCGUUAUCCGGGGUGCGGACAGUGUCUGGUGGGUAGUUUGACUGGGGCGGUCUCCUCCCAAAGAGUAACGGAGGAGCACGAAGGUUGGCUAAGCAUGGUCGGACAUCAUGCGGUUAGUGCAAAGGCAUAAGCCAGCUUGACUGCGAGAGUGACGGCUCGAGCAGGUACGAAAGUAGGUCUUAGUGAUCCGGUGGUUCUGAAUGGAAGGGCCAUCGCUCAACGGAUAAAAGGUACUCCGGGGAUAACAGGCUGAUACCGCCCAAGAGUUCAUAUCGACGGCGGUGUUUGGCACCUCGAUGUCGGCUCAUCACAUCCUGGGGCUGAAGUAGGUCCCAAGGGUACGGCUGUUCGCCGUUUAAAGUGGUACGCGAGCUGGGUUUAGAACGUCGUGAGACAGUUCGGUCCCUAUCUGCCGUGGGCGUUGGAAGAUUGAAAGGGCUGCUCCUAGUACGAGAGGACCGGAGUGGACGCACCACUGGUGUUCGGGUUGUCAUGCCAAUGGCAUUGCCCGGUAGCUAAGUGCGGAAGAGAUAACCGCUGAAAGCAUCUAAGCGGGAAACUUGCCUUGAGAUGAGUCUUCCCUGACUCUUUAAGAGUCCUAAAGGAACGUUUAAGACUAAGACGUUGAUAGGUUGGGUGUGUAAGCGUAGCGAUACGUUGAGCUAACCAAUACUAAUGAACCGUGAGGCUUAACCUG
rnacentral:rRNA from 1 species